rnacentral:rRNA from 1 species
UACGAAGGGGGCUAGCGUUGUUCGGAAUUACUGGGCGUAAAGCGCGCGCAGGCGGCUAUCCAAGUCAGUGGUGAAAGCCCGGAGCUUAACUCCGGAACUGCCAUUGAAACUGUUUAGCUUGAGGACGAGAGAGGUGGGUGGAAUUCCCAGUGUAGAGGUGAAAUUCGUAGAUAUUGGGAAGAACACCGGUGGCGAAGGCGGCUCACUGGCUCAUUUCUGACGCUCAGGCGCGACAGCGUGGGGAUCGAAACAGG